CUUGUUUCUGAUAAACAAAUGAUGUAAGAGGAGCAGCCUCUUCAGGUUGCAAGAUGCACAAAAAUAAUAAACCAGAAUUCUGAGGAAGCAAAGUAUGUAAUAAAUGUCAAGCAAAUUGCCAAGUUUGUUGUUGGUUUGGGCGAUAAAGUUUCACCAACAGAUAUUGAAGAAGGCAUGCGUGUCAGGUAAGUUCAAUUUUCCAUUAUUUAUUUCUAUGACUUUCUUAUUU